UGUAGCUGGCCAUUGUUAUGGCAUGUGCACGUCCUGGUAAUCCAAAUAAUUCAUACCUCUGUGCACUAUUCUGUGGGAUUGAUGAAGGCCAUAUGGUGCUUGCGCCAAUGGUUAUAAUCAUUCUCAUAUCUUUACAUAUACUCUUCAGUUAUAGAAUGUUAUUGCGUUAAACGCAUCUUAAUACAACUUUCAGCAACGGAUCUCUUGGCUCUCGCAUCGAUGANNNNNNCAGCGAAAUGCGAUAAGUAAUGUGAAUUGCAGAAUUCAGUGAAUCAUCGAAUCUUUGAACGCACCUUGCGCUCCUUGGUAUUCCGAGGAGCAUGCCUGUUUGAGUGUCAUGGUAUUCUCAAUCCAUCUGGUUCUGUCAAAGGAAUUCAGUUUGGACUUGGAUAUGGAGGCCUUUGCCGGUUCCCAAAGGAUCGGCUCCUCUGAAAUACAUCAGCAUAAAUGCAUCGCUGUCUCUAGUGUGAUAAUUAUCUACGCUGUGAUUAAGCUUUGUUAUUUUUGCUUCGAAUCGUCUGCUCGUCCAGACAAUUUUUAAUGACAUCUGACCUCAAAUCAGGUAGGACUACCCGCUGAA
rnacentral:sRNA from 1 species